UACAAAGGUUAGGGGUGCUUUUGCAAAGUGCAAAGGCUGAGAUCACACCCUACUACCUGAUCCGGGUAAUACCGGCGGAGGAAAACCUGUUCGCUUAUCU
rnacentral:ncRNA from 2 species